GACGAACGCUGGCGGCGUGCUUAACACAUGCAAGUCGAACGGAAAGGCCCUGCUUUUGUGGGGUGCUCGAGUGGCGAACGGGUGAGUAACACGUGAGUAACCUGCACUUGACUUUGGGAUAACUUCAGGAAACUGGGGCUAAUACCGGAUAGGAGCUCCUGCUGCAUGGUGGGGGUUGGAAAGUUUCGGCGGUUGGGGAUGGACUCGCGGCUUAUCAGCUUGUUGGUGGGGUAGUGGCUUACCAAGGCUUUGACGGGUAGCCGGCCUGAGAGGGUGACCGGCCACAUUGGGACUGAGAUACGGCCCAGACUCCUACGGGAGGCAGCAGUGGGGAAUAUUGCACAAUGGGCGGAAGCCUGAUGCAGCAACGCCGCGUGCGGUAUGACGGCCUUCGGGUUGUAAACCGCUUUCGCCUGUGACGAAGCGUGAGUGACGGUAAUGGGUAAAGAAGCACCGGCUAACUACGUG
rnacentral:rRNA from 1 species